GGUUAAGCGACUAAGCGUACACGGUGGAUGCCCUGGCAGUCAGAGGCGAUGAAGGACGUGCUAAUCUGCGAUAAGCGUCGGUAAGGUGAUAUGAACCGUUAUAACCGGCGAUUUCCGAAUGGGGAAACCCAGUGUGUUUCGACACACUAUCAUUAACUGAAUCCAUAGGUUAAUGAGGCGAACCGGGGGAACUGAAACAUCUAAGUACCCCGAGGAAAAGAAAUCAACCGAGAUUCCCCCAGUAGCGGCGAGCGAACGGGGAGCAGCCCAGAGCCUGAAUCAGUGUGUGUGUUAGUGGAAGCGUCUGGAAAGGCGCGCGAUACAGGGUGACAGCCCCGUACACAAAAAUGCACAUACUGUGAGCUCGAUGAGUAGGGCGGGACACGUGGUAUCCUGUCUGAAUAUGGGGGGACCAUCCUCCAAGGCUAAAUACUCCUGACUGACCGAUAGUGAACCAGUACCGUGAGGGAAAGGCGAAAAGAACCCCGGCGAGGGGAGUGAAAAAGAACCUGAAACCGUGUACGUACAAGCAGUGGGAGCACGCUUAGGCGUGUGACUGCGUACCUUUUGUAUAAUGGGUCAGCGACUUAUAUUCUGUAGCAAGGUUAACCGAAUAGGGGAGCCGAAGGGAAACCGAGUCUUAACUGGGCGUUAAGUUGCAGGGUAUAGACCCGAAACCCGGUGAUCUAGCCAUGGGCAGGUUGAAGGUUGGGUAACACUAACUGGAGGACCGAACCGACUAAUGUUGAAAAAUUAGCGGAUGACUUGUGGCUGGGGGUGAAAGGCCAAUCAAACCGGGAGAUAGCUGGUUCUCCCCGAAAGCUAUUUAGGUAGCGCCUCGUGAAUUCAUCUCCGGGGGUAGAGCACUGUUUCGGCAAGGGGGUCAUCCCGACUUACCAACCCGAUGCAAACUGCGAAUACCGGAGAAUGUUAUCACGGGAGACACACGGCGGGUGCUAACGUCCGUCGUGAAGAGGGAAACAACCCAGACCGCCAGCUAAGGUCCCAAAGUCAUGGUUAAGUGGGAAACGAUGUGGGAAGGCCCAGACAGCCAGGAUGUUGGCUUAGAAGCAGCCAUCAUUUAAAGAAAGCGUAAUAGCUCACUGGUCGAGUCGGCCUGCGCGGAAGAUGUAACGGGGCUAAACCAUGCACCGAAGCUGCGGCAGCGAC
rnacentral:rRNA from 1 species